GACUACCGCUGCUMUCUCUCACCAGACAAGACCCAACGACAUCAAUGUGAAUAGGUAAUCUCUCUCUCUCUCUCACUUUUCUACUAUCCAUGACCGGUGGAGUUUGUCUCAAAUUUCUAUCAAACAACACCAAUUGGUGACUUUCAACGUCAAUGGUUGACUCAAUCUAUUCACAACAGCCUUGAACCAACGCCUCAAAGGCUACAUUAGAGGCGACAGGGGCUCGACCGUACUAGGGAAAGUUGGCCCGGAUGACGUAGACAAGGUUGAUAUGGCUUACAGGGUUGUAGUUGAUCAUAUAAGAAAUCUUUCAUUUGCAAUUGCUGAUGGUUCUUGUCCAGGCAAGCAUGGAGUACAUCAUGAGAAACUGGAAACUAACUGAGACACGGAUGAUGCAAGUGAGAUGAUAAUUUCUUUGCACGCCUAAGAUGUUCUAUUUGGAGCCUUGGCAGCUUUUUAUUUUGUUAAUCAAUCUAGAACCUCUGAAAAUUCAUACGAGUGUUUCCAUUUACUAGGCUUUGCGAGAAGAGUUGGCCUCUGCUGAGCGGAGGG